rnacentral:rRNA from 1 species
UGGGGAAUUUUGGACAAUGGGCGCAAGCCUGAUCCAGCCAUGCCGCGUGAGUGAAGAAGGCCUUCGGGUUGUAAAGCUCUUUCGGCCGGGAAGAAAUCGUGUUCUCUAACAUAGGACAUGGAUGACGGUACCGGACUAAGAAGCACCGGCUAACUACGUGCCAGCAGCCGCGGUAAUACGAAGGGUGCGAGCGUUACGCGGCAUUACUGGGCGUAAAGCGUGCGCAGGAGGUUUUGUAAGACAGUUGUGAAAUCCCCGGGCUUAACCUCGGAACCGCGUUUGUGACUGCUAGGCUGGAGGACGGCAGAGGGGGGUGGAAUUCCACGUGUAGCAGUGAAAUGCGUAGAGAUGUGGAGGAACACCGAUGGCGAAGGCAGCCCCCUGGGCCUGUACUGACGCUCAUGCACGAAAGCGUGGGGAGCAA